rnacentral:tRNA from 20 species
GCUUAGGUAGUUCAAUGGUUAGAACAGACGCCUCAUAUGCGUCUAAUAUAGGUUCAAUUCCUUUCUUAAGCU